GUUCCUGCAGAGGCCUAGCAGCACCUCGCGAGCCUGUCAUGAGGGGAUUUGUGGUUGCCGAAGUAUUCACCUGUGGACAGCUGUCUGCUCUAGAAGUUAUUGCAGUGUUGGAAUGCUGCACCAGGACUGAUUCCUGCUUUUCCAGCGUGUCAAUGCAUCAACAGAGAUGCAGAGGAAAGAUACAGAACUCACUCAACUGGACCUGACUCCCCUCUCAUCUUGUGUCAGAUGACAUAAAAUCAGGAACAUCUCUGCUGAAGGCAAGUCAGUUACGCCGUGUGGAAGAGGUGAAGGGUUUGAGGACAAACUAGAAAGCCAAUGUGUCUAAGUGGACCCAUGCUGCAAUUUGAAAUCCAUUAAAGGACAAUAAAACAGGGGAAUACGCAUCUGGAAAAUCAUGGGAGAAGUUCAAGAGGACUUUGAGCAUGGACGAGGUGGAGAUGAGACUGCAUUAUGAGAUGCAGCUGAGUACCAACGGGCAAAGCAAGGCUCUGUGGCAGCACUUCUCAGCUGCUAUUAAUCAGAAAUAUUUUUGCUGCGUGCCAGGGUAUACAGAAAUGCUUGCUAAUUCUAAUGACUUGUUACAUGAUGCUUCAUAUGUGAUUCUUGAAUAACUUGUGUAGUCCAGUGUUGAGUUUCACUUCCAGUUUGCUCUCGAUAUUUUCUGCUGGGGCAAAGCUGAGUAUUUAGGUUGAAUUAUGGAUAAAAUGUUGCUAGCCAGUUCAUUUCUAGUUCACUGUAGGAAACCUGAGAAGUCAUCAAAUUUGUAUUUCUUGGUAGGAAGACAUUAUUUUCAGACAGAUUUACUUUUAAUGUUACUGAAAAAACUUGGAUCCAUGUGUCACUGGGUGGAUGGAAGGAAUAUCUAUUGAUGCAUGGAUCACAACGAUUUGCAUUUCAUAACAUUAUCAACAACAGACAUAUGACUAUAAUAAAGCAGUACUCUUUAACCCAGUCUGUAAAAAUACAUUGAUUUUAUGGCUCCCCAAACCGAUUAUAUUAAUAUCUGUGCAUAAUUAGUUUACACAUUACUAAAUUACUGACAGAUUAAAAGUGAAAUAGUGCAGUUCAUACAUGGCUGCAUAACUGCCAGAAAGGAAAUUAAUAUGGAUUCAAAUAGUCCUUGGAGACCUGUGCUGAAAUAGCAGAAAUCUAUAAAGACUGCUUGCGUUAGGAAAUUUCCAUCACUAACAUGUUUGUGGUUGAUGCUUUACUAAGUCUGUUAAUAUGGGUAAAAUUUAGUACAGGAAAUGAUAUUUGAAUGAUGCUUUUACUGUUACUAGCUCAAGAAUGUGUUUAUUAAAAGUAAAUUCUUGACUUGAAUGGCAAUUACAUUGGAUGUGAAUAUGAAUUUUUAAAUACUUUUUAAAGUGUUCCUAAUGAAGCAGUAGUAAUGUGAAGGAGCAACUACUAAGGAUGCAUUUGAAAAUCAUAUUUUUAGACAUAUUAAAAACAAGCUUCUUUAUACUUCUCCCUUACCCUGAAAGCACAUUAGAGAUAACCCUGUAUCAAAAUUUAAUCUGUUGAUAUAGCUUCAAAUGCUUUCAGACAAUAUUCUGUCUUUGGGAGAGUUUUUACAUAAACUGCAUUAAACCAACUUUAUGUUUUA